rnacentral:rRNA from 1 species
GAGGAACGCUAGCUACAGGCUUAACACAUGCAAGUCGAGGGGCAGCAUAAGGGUAGCAAUACCUUGGUGUCGACCGGCGCACGGGUGAGUAACGCGUAUGCAACUUACCUAUCAUAGGGGGAUAACCCGGAGAAAGUCGGACUAAUACCGCAUAAAACAGGGGGCCCGCACGGGGCUAUUUGAUAAAGAUUCAUUGCUGAUAGAUAGGCAUGCGUUCCGUUAGAUAGUUGGUGAGGUAACGGCUCACCAAGUCUGUGAUGGAUAGGGGUUCUGAGAGGAAGGUCCCCCACACUGGUACUGAGACACGGACCAGCCUCCUACGGGAGGCAGCAGUAAGGAAUAUUGGUCAAUGGACGAAAGUCUUAACCAGCCAUGCCGCGUGGCGGAUGAAGAUCCUCUGGAUUGUAAACUUCUUUUAUUUGGGACGAAAAUGGGGAAUUCUUUCCCACUUGACGGUACCAGAUGAAUAAGCACCGUCUAACUCCGUGCCAGCCGCCGCGGUAAUAC